rnacentral:lncRNA from 1 species
UGGAAAAGCUGGGACCCUUAUAUACUGCUUCUGGGGUUCUGAAAAGGUGUAAUCUCCACAAAUGACAGUAUGGGGAUCCCUCAAAAAAUUAAAAGUACAAUUAUCAUAAGAUUCAUCAAUCCUACUUAUAUACUUACUAAAAAGAUUUGGGUUCAGAUCAUAAUGACACUUUUUACUGUAGGCUUAGAUUUUUCAAAACAUGCUUUAAUGAGGGUUCUCAAAUGCUUCGACCUCCCUUCUAGCCCACUGUCCAAAGGUAGAGGAGAAAAGAUAGUAAUUAGGACAAGGGGAUGUGGACCUGUUUAGAAGUAGUUCUUUGGGGCAAUUGCAAUCUCUAUUGUCAGGAUAUGAGCAGUUCAGACCAGUAGUGUCAGGAUACCAAACAUGAAUCAUCAGUGGUGGCUUGAUCCAGUGGAAACCACCAGUUCUCCACCAAGUUGGCAGUGGGAGUAACCAGCAUCAGCUGGGUCAUAAAAAAGUUCUCUGCCAUGCCUCUCUCAAGAGAGCAAAUACUCGAGACCAAUAAAGCAUUACAAAUCUAGCUAUGCAAUUGCACUGUCACUGUUGAAUCCUACUUAUACUCUCUACAAACAUCACAUGUCCUCUCACGGGUCUUGCUUCAGCAAAACUGCAUGAAUGCAUCACAUGACAUGACUAGAAAUUUCCACUCCAUUUUAUACCCUUAUUUUUCUGCCUUAUUCAUAAUAACCAGGAGGUGGAAAGAUGAGCCAAAUGUUCAUCAGUAAAUGAAGAUCUGAACAAAACAUGAUAUAUAUACAUGAAAGUAUAUUAUUUGACUAUAAAAAGUGAUAUAUGACAAAUGUUACAACAUGGAUGAAGACAUUUCCCUAAGUGAAAUAAUCAAACUACUACUAAAGAGUAAUUCAAAUGAUAAAUUUAAAGUUAUAUGUAUUUUAUGAUAAGUAAAGAUGAAGAGGCAUACAUGAGGCAAAGAAGCAAGCAAUCUUUUUGGUUUGAAAAUGCCUUGUUAUGGGAGAUGGGAAUAGCCAGCCACUUUUAGAUUUAAGGUCCAUUCCACAAGAUGUUAACUUAUACCUGAUACUGUUAAAUGGCUAAGAAUCCGAGACUAGUUAGGUGACAGGCUUAGGGGAAAAACAAUACUAUUAUUUUGCUAAAGGAACAUAGCAAUAAAAUGACUCCAAAUGACACACUGCUAUACCUACAGAUCAUUGCAUCACUCACCCCUCAUCAGAGAAGCUUCUCCUUGCAGUAAAUGGGAAUUAACAGAGACCCACAACUGGACAACAUGCAGAGAGUGAGAGACUUUGGAGCACUCAGUUCUAAAUGGGAUGUCUUCAUUAAAACCCACUUUUCAAGUCUCAAGGAUCUAUGUGGAAAAGGAGGCAGAAAUAUUGUAAGAACCAGAGUGUCACUAGGUAUAUUGAGAACCAAGGAGAGCAUAUCCAGAGAAGCCUAUGUGCCACAAUCUACAAGAGAAUAUCUGGAGAUGGGGCAUUAAACCCUGAGCCUCUGGCUGUGCAAUCUUCACAGACCACAGAACUUCAACAUCAGAAAGGCAAUGCAUUUUCCCAGGCUCCUUUGUCAGGAGACCCACUUCCAACUGUCUUUACUGCUAGUCCAAAAAAGAUGCAAACCUAUUUCCAGGUGAGCUAGAGAACAGAAAUAAAAAUAAGUCUGUGUUUGGCAACACGGAGAAAGAGGCCACAUUGAUGGUUUUUCUCACUUAGUUGUUCAUUCAAGUAAAUUGUAUUGAACAUCCAGUGAACUUAAACAAAUUUUCAUAUUUUCUAGUUUCCUGAGCUCAAGUUGCUCUUUAAAUAUUCAACAUUCUAAAUUAGCUCCUCAAAACUAUAAUGACUGGCUCUCUCUCCUCUCCUCUUAAACUGCACAAGCAUCUUAGAAAAAUUUGCUAUUGUUUUACAGUUAUUGUAUCUUAUUUCUCUUCUCCAUGAAUCAAAAAUUUCAUUAUUACUCAUGCUAUAUAGUCACUGCUUAUCUAAAAUAAUCCACCUUCAUUUUGCCAUCUUCUUGCAUGUUAGUAUUCCCAAGAAUAAUUUUCCCAUCAUACAAUCUUAGACAUCCAUUAAACAAUGGCUUCUGUUAAAGAGUACCAUUCUUUGAGCCAAACAGCUGCCACUUUCACUAGCUCAGCUGUGCCAGCUUGCAAGAGACUAUUGCCAUCAAGAACCUGUUGACCACUGAUGUUCCCUAACAGUAGGAGGGUAUAGGGAGAGCCAUUGGAUCCUCUCUGGAAUAUUAGCCAUGUUUUCCAGACACUUGUACACAAUUCUGCUCUAAUUGCACAUGGUCUUGGAAUCUUUGGAGGUUCUAUAGGAUAGGAAAGGUUAACUGAUGAGAUUCUAUAUGACUAGGGGGAAUCCAUCAUUUAUCCUGGGCAAAAUUUUCUAGUACAUUAGCUUCUGUGGUGUCCGUGCUCCUAUAAGUAACUUCAAUUAGUUCUCCAGGGUGAAGCUUGGUGUAAUUGUACUUUGGUUUGUUGUUGAAUGGAGUUAUGUAACCACUUUGUGGACUCAGUUCUUUCCUCCCACCUUUAAGUGACUUCUGGGAAUCUAAUAAGUUGCAAGUCUUGCUGGCAAUCACAUUUACCAGAAAGCCAUCCUAAUAUGCUUAUUUAUUCAAAAAUUUCAUGUAUGAAGUGUUACAUCCUAACAAAAACUUCAAAAGUAUAAUUUUGCAGUGGCUAUGAAGCUAACAUAAAGUUAUAUACCACACGAGUCUACAUAGAGUAUUUUUAGCAAUGCAGAGCCUCCCAUAUGAAGUAUAAUCAACUUCUAUGAUAAAGGAAGAUGUAUGAUAAUUAUUUUUCUUUGUUUUACUACCCUUUAAAACAUUUAGUAAUAAUUUUUAUUCCAUUUGACAUUAAUCAAUCAUUUACCCUUUCAGUGCUGAGGUUCUUACCCAGGGUUGUGCAUGUUAGACAUGCACUCUAGCUCUGAUCAACUCUCUACCAGCCUGAGCUGAAAAUUUUUAUCCAGUUUUAAUUUUCAAAGAAAAUUUGUCUACAUGUUUUCUUGAAGUUAUUUUUGUUGUUGUUCUGGUAUUUUUUUGAGACACAAUUUUAUGUAGCUCAGGUUGGCCUUAAACUCACUGUGUAACCAAGGCUGGCUUUUGAACUCCAGAUCCUCUUGUUACCACUCCCCAAAUGCUGGGAUGGUUAAAACUCAACUGUAUUGAGCUUUGACAAAUGCCUAAGUUGUGUGUCUACUAAUACAAUUAUGGUGUUAAGCUUUUCUCUGUUCUCAGAAAGCUCCCUAUUCUAUUUCCUAUUCAGUCUUUUUCUCAUCCUAGGUAGCCAUUAUUCUGGUUUCAUAAAUUGUUCUUCAUUUUCUAGAAUGUUCUAUAAUUAAAAUAAAAU